rnacentral:rRNA from 1 species
GACGAACGCUGGCGGCGUGCUUAACACAUGCAAGUCGAACGGAAAGGCCCUGCUUUUGUGGGGUGCUCGAGUGGCGAACGGGUGAGUAACACGUGAGUAACCUGCCCUUGACUUUGGGAUAACUUCAGGAAACUGGGGCUAAUACCGGAUAGGAACUAGACAGGCAUCUGUACUAGUUGGAAAGUUUUUCGGUUUGGGAUGGGCCCGCGGCCUAUCAGCUUGUUGGUGAGGUAACGGCUCACCAAGGCUACGACGGGUAACCGGCCUGAGAGGGCGACCGGUCACACUGGGACUGAGACACGGCCCAAACUCCUACGGGAGGCAGCAGCGGGGAAUAUUGCGCAACGGGCGCAAGCCUGAUCCAGCCAUGCCGCGUGAGUGAUGAAGGCCUUAGGGUUGUAAAGCUCUUUCGUCCGGGACGAUAAUGACGGUACCGGAAGAAGAAGCCCCGGCUAACUUCGUGCCAGCCGCCGCCGUAA